GAUGAAGAACGUAGUGAAAUGCGAUAAGUAAUGUGAAUUGCAGAAUUCAGUGAAUCAUCGAAUCUUUGAACGCACAUUGCGCCCGCCAGUAUUCUGGCGGGCAUGCCUGUCCGAGCGUCAUUUCAACCCUCGAACACCUCCGGGGGGUCGGCGUUGGGGAUCGGCCCUUUACGGGGCCGGCCCCGAAAUACAGUGGCGGUCUCGCCGCAGCCUCUCCUGCGCAGUAGUUUGCACACUCGCAUCGGGAGCGCGGCGCGUCCACAGCCGUUAAACACCCCAAACUUCUGAAAUGUUGACCUCGGAUCAGGUAGGAAUACCCGCUGAACUUAAGCAUAUCAAUAAGCGGAGGA
rnacentral:misc_RNA from 1 species